UUUUCCCACCUUGUCUUCCUGAGCCGAUUAACUGUAACCUGGAGCUAAAUGACCCUUUCUCCUCUAGGUUGCUUUUGUCAGGAUAUUUUGUCACAGUGAGUGGAAGGAAAGUAAGAUACCACCUGUCCAUUUUUCCUUGAGGGAUAGGCAAAGGGUAGACAAAUCAACCCCAGCUCAUAUGCUACUUGAACGUGGUUUGCCUGGAUUGUUAGGGUACCAGGAGGGAAACAACUGGAAAUAUAGAUGACGAGGCAGUUUGGGGAAGCAUUCUCACAUGCUUGUCCCAUCUGGAUGCUUACCUAGAUUCUAGGUCCUAGAAGAUCAACUGAGGACUGAAUGUAAACAAUUGGGAGCAGGGAGUAGUAUAGGGAAACUUGGUCUGUGUUGGCCCUUUUUUAUUUAUUUAUUUAUUUAUUUAUUUAUUUAUUUAUUUAUUUAUUAGCUAUUUUAUUGGGUUCUUAUAUCUACCACCCCUUUAAACUUUAUUCUAUCCUAAUCCAUUUCAACCCCCAACACUAGGUAGGAGAGAAAAGGGGACCUUAGACCUCAUUAGAGUACUUCCUGCUGAUUCCCUAAUCCUUAGAUUUCUUGGAUCAAGUUCAAUUUCCAUUGUCAGGGUACCUCCAACUUCCUCUUCUUAUUGAUUUUGCUCAUGAACACUUGACAAACCUCAACAAUGGGGAACCGCAGCAGCAGGGGGAGCAGUAGCCACCCCAGGCUCUCUCUGGGCUGACUCCCCAGAAUUCUAUACAUAAACUAUCUGCAGUUGGCAAAAAUCACACCCUUCCAGUGCAUGAGUGCCCUACUGUGAAGCAGCCUCUUAUCCCACACCUGUGGAUUAAGAAAAAAACACAUUCAUAUAAGGUUACUGAUUUAGAAUCCAACUUCUUCAUUCGGUACAAUACAGAAUCCAUACAUGUGAUUCUCCAGGGAGCUUCCAUGCCCAGGACAAUACCAAGCAAUAUGGUUGACCUUUUCAUCCAGAUAAUCCAGAGUCCAAUUAGUGCAGCACACGUGUACAUGGGUGUGGGUUCACCCACUGGGGCAUAGCAUCCUACCAGUGGUCAUGAUCCUGAAGAAAAACUAUCCUCCAGCACCCACACUGCCAACAAGGAGACCUUCUUCAGAUCCAUGCUGGAACUUGUAUGGGGCUCUUAAACGACGGGUGUUUGCCAUCUUACUUAGGGAGCUGUCACCUUGGCAUUCCCUGGAUACCUCUAGGAAGAGAAGAACCUGCAGAGCCACAUAGAGACACUAGAGGGCAGCAGAGCCUUUAAACUGAAAAAAGAAACGGACAGGCUGAGCCCUGAACUGCACGAACCAGAGAAACGGAGAUGUUCCGAAGGGCUUCAAGGAACCCGAGAAUGCUCCCUGUGCUUUCAAUUAGUGCAAGACCGCUGAACUUUCUAGAGUUACUUUCAGAGCUACAGAAAAAGCAGCACCCAAAACAACGUAAUCUAACAGACACAUGA